rnacentral:rRNA from 1 species
AAUGAACGCUGGCGGCAGGCCUAACACAUGCAAGUCGAGCGGAGCGGCGGACGGGGGAGGAAGGACGAGGAAUCUGCCUGGGAGUGGGGGAUAAACUCCGGAAACGGGAGCUAAGAAAGCAGACUAGAAGAGGAGCCUAGGGCGGAUUAGCUAGUUGGAGGGGUAAAGGCCUACCAAGGCGACGAGCCGUAACUGGUCUGAGAGGAUGAUCCGUCACACUGGGACUGAGACACGGUCCAGACUCCUACGGGAGGCAGCAGUGGGGAAUCUUGGUCAAUGGGCGAAAGCCUGAUCCAGCCAGGCCGCGUGUGUGAAGAAGGUUUUCGGAUUGUAAAGCACUUUAGUUUGGGAGGCGUUACCUACAGAAUAAGCAACGGCUAACUUCGUGCCAGCAGCCGCGGUAAUUC